rnacentral:lncRNA from 1 species
UCCUGGGUGCUUCUACUUUCACAUGGUUGACCAAAACGAUUAAAGGAAUGGAUGUCCCAAACACUGUGCUGAAAUCCAUUCCAGAAAGCUGCAAUUUGUUCGCUGUUUCGAGAUGGAAGGUUAUUUGCAAGUUGGCUGGACAGAAGCCUUUUGUUACAGAUCCAUCGUCAGAUAUACGGAAGGCUAGACUUAAUAUCUUCACGCAGAAAGAACGGAAUAGAACUUUGGACGAGCAAGAGACGAACCCGAGUUCUCUUGAAAUGGAUUCGGGCAAAAGUUCGUUAUCAGAGUGGUCGCAGCUCAAUCGUUUAACCUCUUUGGAUUCCGUUGUCAGCACGGAUAGCAAUGAUGCUUAUGGUCCUGCGCAUUCCCAUCGGAUUUCUGAUCUUGGGAUCUUGAUGACGGGGGGACAAUUCCACCCUAAUAAUUUGCAUCAAAAAUGGGGGGAAGAACCGCGAUUCCGAUCGCGAUCUAUGGAUGUCAUUCCAUCCGAUUUAGUAGAAGUUUCCCAAGAUGAUAUUAACUGGGAACUAGAGAAGCUAAGGUUAGAACUGAAGGUUACCUCGACAAAGUAUAAUCACGCCUGCAAGGAACUGAUCGUCGCCAAGAACAAGAUCGAAACACUCUCCGUCCAACGAUCGGAAGAAGCGACGAAGGCCAGAAUCGCCAUGGAAAGAGAAGAAGAAUUGAAAAAGAUCGCCGAAGAAGAGAGAUCUAAGAAUAUAGAAGCGAUGAAGGAAAUCAAAGAAACGAAACGAUUACUUGCUUUAUUUUCAGGUGAUGAAAACUGCAAACUAUACUCCAAGGAUGAGAUCAUCGCUGCUACUGAUGACUUCUCCGAUUCGAAAAAGAUCGGAUCCGGUGGUUACGGCAACGUCUACGGAUGCAUCCUUGACGACACUCCGGUAGCGAUCAAAG